GCGGCAGUCGUAUAGUGGUUAUUACCCAAGCUUCCCAAGCUUGAGAUGAGGGUUCGAUUCCCUUCUGCCGCU
rnacentral:tRNA from 1 species